rnacentral:rRNA from 1 species
UUGUAAGUAGAUUUUCUAUUUUACUAGUAUAUUAGAAUGUUGCAUACAACUAUAGAAUUCGUCUGAUAAGUCCGUUCUCUAAGGUGGAAACACUGUAUAAAACAGCAUACACCAAAACUCAAUGAACUAAAAGAUUUUAUUAAUUGAAGGAAAAGAAACCAACCGGGAUUGCGCUAGUAGUACAGAGCGAAGGCGCAAAAGCUUAAAUAAUUUUUUGUUUACCAGUCGAACUUAAGUGGAAUCCGGACCAAAGAAAGUUAUAGUCUUGUAGAUUGUAAACAAAAAAAGUGCUGCGAUUAAAUUAAUCUUUAUUUGUGCACAUAUUAGUACUUAUUGCUUAAAACCUACUUUAUAUAAAUAAUACGCGUUAUUUAUAUACAGUUUAAAUCGGAGUAAAUAAGCGAGUUAGUGGUUUUACACUGCUAAAUAAUUGACGGAUACCACUCUGUUGGCUAAAUACUCUAUGUAGAUCGAUAGUGAAUCAGUACUGUAAAGGAAUUAGGAAACAAGAAUGCCAUUGCUUCUCUGAAUACAAGUCCCGAAACAGGUUGCUUAUAAUGACUUUCAGUUUGGCAGCUAUAAUGUUGAAUAGAAAGGUUCCUUUUGAAUCAUGAGCUGAUGACUUUGUGUUGGUUUAAGGCAUAUUAUUAAUCGUGUGUUUAAUAUAAGUGGCUUAAUUUAUUAAAAGUAAGCUUAUUAUGAAAAUAAUCAUAAAAAACUAACACAAGACGCGAAACGAAGUGAGCUUAGGUAGACCAGGGGGAAGGUUGCCGGAAGGUAGUUGGACGCCCGAAGUGGUAUGCGUUGCAACGCAUUCAUAUGAGUUUACUUAAGUGGCGAAAUACCAAUCGAACUUCGAAAUAUCUCGUUUUUUGCGAAACCUUUUUAGGAAGGGGGCCUGCAGAAUAAAUGCUAACUAGGUAGAGCGCUGUAAAACUGAUGGGAAGGAAACUUUUACUGAGGUGUUGCAAACCACAAAUUAGGGGCAUUUUGCCAGGUACUCAGUCAGUGCGGGACAAGCUGCAUUUGACAAGAAGGAAACAGCCUAGACUAUUAAUUAAGGCCCGUAAAUAGCGCUAAGUGAGAAAGUAAUUAACUUCACAAAAAUUAGUAGGACGUUUGAUUAGCAGCAUCUACCGUUUAAAGAAAGCGUAAUAGCUCACUACUAUAGUUUAGUUGUUGCGAAAAUUUAGCCGGACUAAGCGCUAUGCCGAAAUUAUAGCUAACUUUAUUUUGUUAUAUUUUCCCUUUUAAAAAGGAUUUACUUUUUAAAAGGGAAAAUAUAGCAAUAAAGCCAGUUAGAGUAGCAAAACGAACCAUGUUGAUAAAAUUAUGUCGGUAAGACUUAAUGAAAAUAUUGGUUGUGAAUAUAUCAGCUAGAGUAACACAUAAAUUGAGAUGUUUUAAUUAAUGCAGCUUUGUAUUUAUUGGUUAAUUACUUGAAUUUAUACAAAGAUGUAUUAAUUCAGAACAGUAUCCCAAUGAUCGGAAAUCCUGGGUUUUCUACACAACUAUUAAAGAUGUAGUUAAAAAUACGGUCCCUAAGUAUUAUAAAGAUUACGAUGGGUACUUGCUGUGACCAACAAAACCUUAUAAAUAGGUCUGUUGCAGGAAACAGUAGCAAGAAAUUACGUGCAUAAUAUUUGUUUUACGCGUACUAUAAGCACCGUACUAAAACUGACUCUGGUGGAUUGGUAGACUUUACUAAGAUUUGGUUAUAAUCGCUCGUAAGGAACUCGGCAAAUUGCGCUGGUACUUUCGAAAACAGCGGUCUAAAAGUGGUGUUUUAGAUCUCAGAUAAGAAAACUGGGUGACAGUUUACUAAAAACUUAGCGUCCUGCCAAUUUGAAACAAGACGUAUAGGAUGUGACGUUUGCUAACGGCCACUAAUUUAAGUAAUCUGUUGUAAAAGAUAGAUCAACAAGAUGUGGUGACGAGCGGCCGUGUGCGAGUCGUUUAAAGGGAAACAAAACAUUUUUAUUUUGGAGCCUUUAGGUAGGGGUUAAAAAACUCCGCUAACUGUAAUAACUUGUUGGUGUAAAUCCAAACAUCACAGGAACUGAUGAAAAGCGUAGCCCGCAUGCCUUUUUUAGGUGUGAAGCCGGGUUAAACGGGAUGAAGGAAACGACGAAUCCCUAGCAAGGAGUAUAUGAUUAACAGACGUGAAUCUGCGGUUAAAGCAUGGUGACUCCAGGCAUACUGUACGGCCGAGUAUGUUGUUCUUUGGGCAAAGUCAUCGUGUAUAGCAGGAAUCUAAGUACUCAUAGUAAGUUAUUACGGAACGACGAAACCCCGCAAAUGCGGGAUUGGGAUGGCGUAAAAAGCCAAUGCCGAACUUUGUUUUGUUUUUUAAACAAAACACUAAAUAAUUAAGCUAACUUGGUUUAUUUUAUUAUUUUGGAAUUAACAAGUUUCGCUUCUAAGUCUGACUUAAAAGCUGCGCUGAAAAGGUGCAAGGGCGUAAUGCCCCGGAUAUGCUAACGUACGCCGCGUGGAAUGUAAAAAAAGGAAAAAAAAAAACAGUAAUUAAAUUAUGACUAAAUUAAGUUUAAAACAAAAAAUACAUGUUUACCGUGACACUACAAUGCUUGGGCAUUAUUUGGCCGGGCUUUGGGAGGGCGACGGUAAUAUAAAUUAAAUAUAAAAGACAAGAAUUACGCAAAACCCACAAUUCACAUAACAUUGCAUAAGCAGCAACAGCCUUGUGUUAAAAAAUUAUUGGCUUUAUUAAGUCGUUUAUGCGGUGACCCUGUAGGCAGUGUUCAUAUACGAGAUGACAAUAACUCAUGUGUGCUUAAUAUUCAUACACCGCAAGGAUUAAAGCUUGUUGUGGGUUUAAUUAAAGAUAAACUAAGAACGCCAAAAGCCUUUCAUUUGAACCGUGUUAUUGACUGGUUAAACAGCUAUGAUAUGAUCCGAGUUUUAAUUUUAGUCAUGUUAAUAGCGUAAGUGAUUUCGACCUAAGCGCACCCUGGUUCGCAGGGUUUUGUGAUGCAAGAUGCAAGCUUUGGUAUUGAUUUAAGUGUUAAGACGCGCUUAAAAGCGUCGUGUCAGUUUCAAAUUAACCAACGCAUGAGUGACCCACGGACAAGAUUAAGCUACCACAAACUUUUUCGUUCAAUUGCUGAUGCGCUAAAAGUAAACAUAUGCACUAAAGUGGGCGGCUCUAUUAUGCGAUAAAAGCCACAAGCCGUAAGUCAAAAGAUAUUUUACGCAGUUAUUUUUAUUCAUACCCGUUAUUAACAUCAAAGUUUUUAGACUAUAGAUCUUGGUGCGGUGUUGACAAUCUGUUAAAAAAAAAGAAACCUCGCUAAAUAUUUACAGCAAAUCCGGUUUUAAAAACAAGGUAUGAAUCACAGUCGGCGCAGCUUUACUUGGUAUCACUUACGCCAUAUAUAACCUUUUUUUUUUCACGAGGAGCCGUAUGAUAGGAAACUAUCACGUACGGUUUUGAAUAAGCAGUUUUGGGGAGGCCCAACGCUGACUUUAACAACUAUAACGGUCAUAAAGUAGCGAAAUUCCUAGGCAUUUAAUUGGUGUCCUGCAUGAAUAACGUAACAACCUGGUUGCUGUCUCGCGAGCGAAAACCGUGAAAUAAGAAUAUCGGUUAAAAUACCGAUUAGGCUGUCUUAGACGAUAAGACCCUGUGAAGCUUUACUGUAACCUAACAUUGCGAUCGGUUUUUUAUCUUACAGUUAGGCGGGAGGUAACAACAAUGGAAAACCGCUAGAUAAUAAAUUGGUCGCUUUUAUAUAAGAUUACUU